CCGUUGAAGGAAAUAUGAGCUCAUAUAAUCCCAAUAAUAUGGUUUGGGAGUAUCUACCGGAUGACCGUAAAUUAUCCGACUAUGGGUGAAUGAUUAGCGCAA
rnacentral:ncRNA from 2 species